AAGAAUGGGUACUGGCCUGCAACUGUCAACUGUGACACCAUAUACCAUGUAGAUCUGUUCAGCUCUUUUGAGGAGCUGAAAGUGUCAGCCCCAGGAAUGUCCCGUCCGGCGUUUAUGUGGAUUUUGGAGCAACGUACUGACUACUUUGGCAGGAACAGAAUGAUCUGUGGGGACACUUUUCAAAAGAGCUUCGAGUGGACGUACUGCCGCUCUGAAAUUGAUCAGGUCUGUGAUAUACAGUACUUUGACUGCCCAGCCUGUUCACCCAGCAUGCUUGCAGUGUCUGGAUGGGAACAAGAAGCUGUAUCAAUUCAAAAAAGGCCAUCACCCCGGAUUAAAAAAGAGAAGUGAAUAAGUGAAUCUCUCCUAAUGGAUAUUCCUGAAAGCAACCGGACAUAAGUGAUUGGGAAGCGACUGUUAGACGUAGAUUCUCAGAAGCAAACUGCGCCCUGUCCUUUACGUAGUCCUUCACGAUCACACAAUUUUCGGCGUAAGUCCAUAUAAUUAAUCACACACCCAAGAAUAUUUAUAUAUUAAAACGAAAAGUGUGCACUCUGAACGACUUCGUAAGACACCAGGCAGCAGUCCCAGGACAGAUAACAUAGUCUGUGAAGCCCUCCUAAUGGAUAUUUCUGGAGCUGAGUAAGUGAAAAAUAUAUUUUAAGUUUUGUUUGAAUA